CGGGAAAAGCUCAAAUUUAAAAUCUGGCGGUCUCUGGCCGUCCGAGUUGUAAGUUAGAGAAGUGUUACCCGCGCUGGACCGUGUACAAGUCUCCUGGAACGGAGCGUCAUAGAGGGUGAGAGCCCCGUCU
rnacentral:rRNA from 1 species